rnacentral:rRNA from 1 species
CCUACGGGAGGCAGCAGUGAGGAAUAUUGGUCAAUGGGCGCGAGCCUGAACCAGCCAAGUAGCGUGAAGGAUGACUGCCCUACGGGUUGUAAACUUCUUUUGUAAAGGAAUAAAGUGAGGCACGUGUGCCUUUUUGUAUGUACUUUAUGAAUAAGCAUCGGCUAACUCCGUGCCAGCAGCCGCGGUAAUACGGGGGAUGCAAGCGUUAUCCGGAUUUAUUGGGUUUAAAGGGUGCGUAGGCUGUGAGGUAAGUCAGCGGUGAAAUGCCCCCGCUCAACGGGGUGAAGUGCCAUUGAUACUGGCAGGCUGGAGUGGGGAUGCAGUGGGAGGAAUGUGCGGUGUAGCGGUGAAAUGCAUAGAUAUCACACAGAACACCGAUUGCGAAGGCAGCUCACG